GUCCACGCCCUAAACGAUGUCUACUAGUUGUCGGGUCUUAAUUGACUUGGUAACGCAGCUAACGCGUGAAGUAGACCGCCUGGGAGUACGGUCGCAAGAUUAAACUCAAAGGAAUUGACGGGACCCGCACAAGCGGUGGAUGAUGUGGAUUAAUUCGAUGCAACGCGAAACCUUACCUACCCUUGACAUGGACGGAAUCCCGGAGAGAUCUGGGAGUGCUCGAAAGAGAGCCGUUACACAGGUGCUGCAUGGCUGUCGU
rnacentral:rRNA from 1 species